rnacentral:rRNA from 1 species
UACGGGGGGUGCAAGCGUUGUCCGGAAUUAUUGGGCGUAAAGAGCUCGUAGGCGGUUUGUCGCGUCUGCCGUGAAAGUCCGGGGCUCAACUCCGGAUCUGCGGUGGGUACGGGCAGACUAGAGUGAUGUAGGGGAGACUGGAAUUCCUGGUGUAGCGGUGAAAUGCGCAGAUAUCAGGAGGAACACCGAUGGCGAAGGCAGGUCUCUGGGCAUUAACUGACGCUGAGGAGCGAAAGCAUGGGGAGCGAACAGG